UCAAAAUCAGCAAUCAUUCCUGGGUAUUACUUACUGUCACUUGGCUCAUGGUGGCUGUUUUGUCACCUCCUGGUCUCAGAUCCCACAGAGGAAUAAUGGCAGUAUAGAAGCUGAAGCUCUAUAAAAAGUGUCAUCUUAACAUCAGAGGAGGAGCUAGGCAUAAGGGGUUGGCUUCACAAAUGUAAAUAUUUCAUAAUUUAUUUAGCAACGUGGCUUUUCUUUUUCCCCCAGGCAAAAACUUUAAUAAAGGAAUAGGUCUACUGCAACAAAGGAAACAACAGCAAAAAAAACAGAGACAAGGACACAUCCUAACCCCAUUAAUAUCAUUGGGAAUUUGCCUUCAUCUUCAGUGGGAACAGAACUUCAAAGACACAGGAAUCACCCAUAAAACCCGAAGGAUUGUCUAAGCUUGAGAGACCAGUUUUCAAAAGCUCUCUAGCAAAGCUAUUAUCUUACCAGCAUUACGUUGUCAGAAGAAGCUGUAAAAGGUUCAUCAGAAACACCGAGGGCUUGAAGGAAUGAAAGAUCUUGAGCCCAAAGGAAAGGAAAUCCCAAAGGAUGGAAUGCUUCCUGAUGAGAAGAUGUUGAAGACAUGCUGGUCUCCAUGCAAAGCUGAAGGGGUGCCCAGAGAAACAACAGCGUGUCCAAUGGAUACCAGCAGUCACUUCAGCUGGAAGAAUGAAGACAGUUCUCACCUCAGAAAAACCUGCAGGCUUGUGGUUUCACUGUUCCAUUGACAGGUAAGAUGAUAAUCUCUGGAGGCUGGAAAGUCCUGUCUUCUGUAUCCUUCUUUAACUUUUCAACUACCAGUUAAGCAAAGCCACUAUCACUAACUUUGCUACACGUUCCAUGGUGUUCAGCAGCCCCUGGGAACACCUACUAGAGAGAAGCUGCAAGCAUGAGUGACCUGCUAAGGGUUCAGAUGUGAUCAAAGCUGUGCAACUGCUCUGAAUUCUCAAGGCUGAGGUACUUACAGGCAUAACAAAACCAGACCUUUGGGGUACCACUUCAUUAUUUACACAGCACUGUGAAGGGCAGGAGAAGCAGCUUUGAAUGCAAGAAUAAGAGGAGUGCACUCACCUUAGUUCAGGACUCUGCUGCUGCCAGUCGGCCCCUGGGCAGCUGCACAAGCACUCCUGCUGCAGCAGCCACACUGCCAGCUCCCAGCUCCUCUCCUGCUUCUGUUCCCCCUCUUCACGACCACCAGAGUGCUCAGAGGGCCUAAGGAUCCUGUUGAAGGUUUUGAGGCUGCUCCUUGCUGAGGUUUUUGAGGAUCAGAAAUGUGGACUGCAACAAACCUUGCGGGAGCCUUGAGCCUCACAUGUUACUGUUUUGUUGUGAUCUUGUGUUCCUUGUACUUUCCUUCUCCUCAUCACUUUUAGAUCCACGACAGUACUGAUUCCAGCUGUGUAAUAUGGGGAAUUUUGUCCUAGAGAAAAAAUAGUCAUCCCUCCCUUGUGCUCUACUCUGCUAACACACCAAGAAUACUUAAACCAGAGACAUUGCAAACUGUGCUCAGAAUCUGGUGAUCUUCAAAUUACUAUUAUCAAUUGGUGGUUAUCUCUUAACAAACAACCACAAGGAAUGCUGGCUCACUGAUUCAGAGGGGAAUUCCUUUGCCAUGUUAUUAAGGCUAUGUAACUACAGUCAAAAUGAAUCCAUUAAAAAAGUAUAAAACAGCUUGUUGUUAGGAAAGGAAAGGAAAGGAAAGGAAAGGAAAGGAAAGGAAAGGAAAGG
ensembl:lncRNA